UGCAUCUGAAGCCUGACGAGGAUGAGAACCUCCGGGGGCAAGAGGUUCGACUCGAGCGCAGCGAGAGAACGUUGCGUCAGCAACGGCCCGCAGGGCGAGCCACGCAGUG
rnacentral:sRNA from 1 species